rnacentral:lncRNA from 10 species
GGUUUGCAAUACUCUGAAUAAUUGUCAACGUGAUGUUGCAUAUUCUCCUCAAACUUGUAGGCAAGAUAGUUCAUCACCAGGAGGAAGUAUUGAUGAUGGGUUUUGGAUUUUAGGAAAAAGUACACCCUUGUUUGUGAAAUGACAUGCUGUUCCUCAGAAAAAUGGCCUUUAAUCAGUUGCUACAUUUUUCUACCUUUCCUCAUUUUAACUGCCAUCAUUGGUCUUAAAUGGAACAAAAUGAAGGGAUUUUGACACUGAGCAAAAAGUGUAAGUGGAAGAAGACAGCAGUAGUAGCAGCAACAGUAACAGCAGUAGUGACAGCAACCAGUCAUAGAGGUAGAAGUCAGGGACCCUGAAUGGAGGGACUGGCUGGAGCCAUGGCAGAGGAACAUAAAUGUAACUACAUGAUAACAUCAAAAGCCAUAAGAUAGAGAAAGGAUAUUACCAAGAAACUUACCAUUAACUGGCUUGAUUCAACAAUGAAAACAAAAAUCGCCUUUUUUCUCCUUUCAUUAUGGCUUAAAGCUUUCAAUUGCACAAACAAAAUAAAUUAUAUGACAGGAAGUA